UGUGUGUGUGUUUGUGUUGAACUAGUUGACAGGGACAUAAAGAGAGACACAAGAAUAAAGUUGCUUUUGCAACCCAGAAGUCACUGUUCAUCAAUAUGAUUAUUAAUACAUAUAAGAGAAAAAUG
rfam:Mesocricetus auratus contig015352, whole genome shotgun sequence.